ACGUACACUCCUGCGGGAGGCAGCAGUGGGGAAUAUUGCACAAUGGGCGCAAGCCUGAUGCAGCCAUGCCGCGUGUAUGAAGAAGGCCUUCGGGUUGUAAAGUACUUUCAGCGGGGAGGAAGGCAAUACGGUUAAUAACCGUGUUGAUUGACGUUACCCGCAGAAGAAGCACCGGCUAACUCCGUGCCAGCAGCCGCGGUAAUACGGAGGGUGCAAGCGUUAAUCGGAAUUACUGGGCGUAAAGCGCACGCAGGCGGUCUGUCAAGUCGGAUGUGAAAUCCCCGGGCUCAACCUGGGAACUGCAUUCGAAACUGGCAGGCUUGAGUCUUGUAGAGGGGGGUAGAAUUCCAGGUGUAGCGGUGAAAUGCGUAGAGAUCUGGAGGAAUACCGGUGGCGAAGGCGGCCCCCUGGACAAAGACUGACGCUCAGGUGCGAAAGCGUGGGGAGCAAACAGGAUUAGAAACCCGGGUAGUCCC
rnacentral:rRNA from 1 species